rnacentral:snoRNA from 1 species
AUGCAUCUUUGACAGCCUGAUUCCUCUGAUGUGAGGUAUCCCAGGUUUUAAUAUUUCAGAUGCAAUAUUAAAUGUCCCCGCGCUUUCUGCUCGCCUCUUUCCCGUGGCGUCUCGGAUUGAAUAGGGGAGGAUAAAU